rnacentral:lncRNA from 1 species
AGAACAGACCGUUAGAGGGGACAGACUGGACACAGGGCCCAAUCCAGACACACAGCCCUGGCUCGCCGGACAAGCCAGAUCAUCCGCAGCAUCGUUUACAGGAUCAUGUGAUUGCCAUUUGUGACCUUUGCAGGGGGCUUCCAAGACGGAAGGAAGCUGAAUUCACUGAAUGACCACAGCAAAAACACACAAAAAAAGUCAUAAAAUCAGCUGCAACUCACCUAAUGAACACAUCAUUUAGCAUCGGAAGUUCCAGCCCCAAAUUGGGGUCAUAAGUUGAGGACUGCCUGUAACUGUUUUGGAUGGCAGACUUGGGGAAGUGGCCUUCAUUGUCU